UACGAAGGGGGCUAGCGUUGCUCGGAAUCACUGGGCGUAAAGCGCACGUAGGCGGAUUGCUAAGUCAGGGGUGAAAUCCUGGAGCUCAACUCCAGAACUGCCUUUGAUACUGGCGACCUUGAGUCCGGGAGAGGUGAGUGGAACUGCGAGUGUAGAGGUGAAAUUCGUAGAUAUUCGGAGGAACACCAGUGGCGAAGGCGGCUCACUGGUCCAUUACUGACGCUGAGGUGCAAAGGCGUGGGGAGCAAACAGG
rnacentral:rRNA from 1 species